rnacentral:lncRNA from 1 species
GCCCAGCAAAUACCAUCUCUUCUUAACUUUGAUAUUUUGAGACCCUAGUAUAGCAUGCUUGUCGAGUACACUCUUUUGAUCCAGACUAAUCAUCUUAGAGCAUUCUAUGGAUGUGUUACUGUCAUGAUGAUAAGACUUCUUGAUUGGUCUUAUCCUUUUGAAACAACUGAAGAACAUACCUGAGAUGGGCAAACCAAAAUCAUUAAAAUUUAUUAAUCC